rnacentral:rRNA from 1 species
AGAGGGUGCAAGCGUUAAUCGGAAUUACUGGGCGUAAAGGGCGUGUAGGUGGUUUGAUAAGUUGGCUGUGAAAGCCCCGGGCUUAACCUGGGAGGGUCAGCCAAAACUAUAAGACUAGAGUACGGUAGAGGGUAGUGGAAUUUCCGGUGUAGCGGUGAAAUGCGUAGAUAUCGGAAGGAACACCAGUGGCGAAGGCGACUACCUGGACUGAUACUGACACUGAGGCGCGAAAGCGUGGGGAGCGAACAGGAUUAGAUACCCUGGGUAGUCCACGCCGUAAACGAUGAGAACUAGCCGUUGGGGACGUAAGUCUUUAGUGGCGCAGCUAACGCGAUAAGUUCUCCGCCUGGGGAGUACGGCCGCAAGGCUA